rnacentral:rRNA from 1 species
UACGGGGGGGGCUAGCGUUGUUCGGAAUUACUGGGCGUAAAGGGCGCGUAGGCGGUCUACUAAGUUGGAUGUGAAAACUCUGGGCUUAACCCAGAGCCUGCAUUCAAAACUGAUAGGCUAGAGUUCUGGAGGGGAUAGCGGAAUUCCUGGUGUAGCGGUGAAAUGCGUAGAUAUCAGGAGGAACACCGGUGGCGAAGGCGGCUAUCUGGACCGGCAUUGACGCUGAGGCGCGAAAGCGUGGGGAGCGAACAGG